GUGUGUUCGGUCGACCCAACCCGCAUGUUUCUCUCCUUUCCCUCACCGUCUUUUCUUCACCCGGCAGAGCGGCGGCGGGUACCAGGCUAGGUGGCGGCGGCUCUCAGGCGAGCAGGUGCGGAAGAGGCGCCGAGAACCAUGGGAGUGGCGGCUGCUCACAGAUGCAGCGACGCUGAGAAUCAGGGGCGGCAGCGGGUGGGAGCGGCGGCUGCUCACAGAUGCGGCGACGCUGGGAAUCAAGGGCGGCGGCGGGCACCAGCCUAGGUGGUGGCGGCGGGAACCAGGGAAGGCUGCGGCUCUCAGGCGAGAGAGUUCGGCAGAGGCGCCGGGAACCAUGGGCGGGGCGACUCGCAGAUUUGGUGGCGCUGCGAAUCAAGAAGCCGAUCCUAUCCUCAUGUCCACUUCGAUUUUCAGAGAAAAAAUCGACUAUGUGCUCAACUCCAUGGAUUGUUUAGCAAUAUUUGGACUACUUCGAUGGCUUCUGUUGUUGUAUGAUCGAAAUGUGUGUAAUGUUUGAUGUCAUAUACUCCCUCUUUAUUGACCUAGCUUGUUGCGCAGGAAUCGUUGAGGAGAUGGGGGGGGGGGGGGGGGGUGAAUAAGAAUCGUUGAGGAGAUGGGUUGCCUUAAUCGACCCUGUUAUGGCCAGCAAGGCGUGCACGGCCCAUCGCUGCCUCCCCGCUCCAAUGCUGGAUCACAUCAUGUCUUCACGGACGUGCCCGGAGCUCACGCGAUCUCGCCUCCAGUCGCCACCGAUGCGCCACCGGGCCGAUGGCCGCCGAGCACCACAUGCACCCUCCUGACUACCUAGGAAGGCCACGGAGUCAGGGAUGCCAGGAUUAAUUCUUCAUCCUUUCCUGUUGGAACAGGAGAAAGGUAAGAAUGAGAAUUGAAGAGAAGGAGAGGCUAGGAGAUGCAUCAAUGGGCUCCGUGACCGAUUUCGAACAGGAAGGGAGGAAAAUACCCUCAACAAGAGAGGAACGACUGUCAGUUCAACCUGGAAAGCAAUCAGAUUUCCUCCUCCUCAUGUGUGUAGUCUGCGGCAUGAUGUGCAUUCCCGCGAGAAUAGCUACGGUGAGAAGGUUCGCAGGGCCUACCACGAUAGCGUCUUUAAGGAAGCCCGAUAAAAGCUCAUUAUGCUCAAGUAAUCGAGUUACCUUUUCUCAAUUGGCAGUGUAAAUUCUUGUUUCUUGUGUUUCUAUCAACCAAAGAAUUUCUGAGCAUGAGUUGCAGUUUUCGCUUGACAAAACUGUGAUUCCGAGGUCCAAGGACGGGAAGAGGAUAGUUGUUCCAACUGCUGAAAAUUUGUCUUGCAUAGGCAUUUUUUCCUAACUCGCUUUUUUAUGUGCAGAUAUAUUAAUUUCUAAAGAAAUCCAUAUGUAAACAUCAGUUUAAUUAUAUCUGUAAUAUGUAUGCGUCUAUGUUGACUGCAAAAAGUCUGAGCAUCACAACCAAUCCAGAGUUUGACAUUGGAAGUGUAGGUUCAAGUUUCACAUGUUUAGGAUCCAAACCGUGCUACAGUUUAUUUCUCUGCAGGCAAAGGCACAAAGGAUACAAGGUAGUGAUUGUUGGUUUAUUCGAUUAUUUGCUUAGUCUUCAUGAAUAGGCAAAAACAAACCAAUUUAUUUUGAUAUUUGGUUUUUGGUUUAUUCGAUUAUUUGCUAUGUUUCUUUUUGUUGGGAUACUCUCUUUAAGCAGUAGCUUCUCAUCUAUAUUGGGACAAACAAAAUCUCAAAUAUCUUCUUAUUGACAUAGAACAUAAACAUGACAUUGCCACUAGCUUGUUUCUAAAGUUUUAUUUUGAACUUUUAUCCCCAUAUAUAUUCAGUAGGUCUAUCUCGAACAGUUGCCAUGUAAAUAAAGUGGACUUGGGAUAACAUGAAUCGUUGAUGAUCGUCAGAAAUAAUUCUUUCAUUUGUGUAUCUAAAAAAUACAUAUUCUUACAUUAUCUAAAAAAUCAUUAUAAAUUUUCAGUACACUGCAGUUCGGUUCUUCUAGACUGUCAUUAUUAUUUCCUUGAUGUCUCGGAUGAUUUACUGGAAAGUGAAAUAUUAAUGUUUGUGGAAUACCAUGUGACUAUCUUGUAAGCAUGAGAUUUUUUCACAUCCAUUUUUUUGAAGUGUUGUGAGAACAGAAAAUUUUAAAAGCCGUAGCAACGCACGGACAUUCAACUAGUACAAUGUAAUUAUAGGCUUGUGGAAAUGAUAUUGGGCCGAUCAGAUUUCGCCAGCACGGUAAAGCGAGAUAUCCUUUUAUGUGCCAUGCCUUUGGUGUUGUAAUUUUUUUCCAUGUUAAUGGAUAUACAUGCAGGUCAUGGUCCCUGAAAAAACUCUUAAGAGUUAUCCGUGCUCCAGUUGCUUCUGAGAGUAGUACUUGAGCAGGACACACUGAGUUCCUUUCAUCUCUUAUGAUGUUGUAAUUAGUGACGACUACAAGUUUUAUAUUGGAAUUUAAAUGUUGGUAUUGCCUAUACUAACAGUUCUUCUAGCUGCUCAGAUACCUACUCAUUGAUGUUACAAUUUAGAUUUUUGUCCAAAUGUAGUGUUUCCAUUGUGUCUCCUAGAAGUGAGAAAAACAGAACAAAAGGAGGUCUCUUCCAGAAUGGUAGAAUAAAAGGUUUCUGGCUUAUGUAAGCACUUGAUUAUUUUCUAAAGCUUCAUUCGAAUUUUGCGGUGAAUGGUUAGUGCUGAGAACAGCUGCUUAGAACUUUUCCUGCCAUAUAUAAUGUUUCAGGUAUGGUCAAAUAGUUCAUUUUGCCUAAAAUUAUGCCAUCACCACUGCUCAUAAAAAGUUACCAUGUCAUUUUCCUGCUAAUGGUUCUCUUAACGAUUAGGCUUCGCCUAGCAAAUGCAGAGAUUGGACGCUGUUAUUUUCCAGGAUCUACUGCUGUAUAAUUUGUAAGGCUUCUGCUAAUAUUUAAGGAGAUUGGACGCUGUUAUUUUCCAGGAUCUACUGCUAUAUAAUUUGUAAGGCUUCUCCUAAUAUUUAAGGCCACUCUCACUGUUUGUUUCUUGCUGUGAGAGUUACUUAUGCCGGCAAGCAAGAUAACUUUGCAUUGGAGUCCAGAUCAGCAAGCAGCUAAAGGUACAAAAGGGCAUAUAAAUGGUAUAUUUGUUUGUUGCUUUCCUCUGCUUGCCGACUCAUAUUACAAGGUGAACACAUGAUUUGCCAAGUUUUGUGCCUGAACCUAAGGAAACAACUUGAACUGAGGCAAGGAUCUUCCUGAUGCCUUUCCUGAGAUUGUUAGCCCAAAGCAUAUGUCCCCCUCAUUAUUUUUCUCCUCAUAAGUUGGUUACAGGUCCGCCAAAAUUUGGUUUGGUCAUGUUGUUGGCUAUAUAGGUUGUCUUGUGUGAUGUGCUCAUCAAUGAAGCUAUGGAUAUGAACAAAUCUUCAAUUAACUCUGCUCAGACGCUGUAACAAUCCAAUAAGUAAUGCUACUUUUUUGUCCUUUGAACUCUGAAUUACUACUCACUGUAUGAUGGUUUGAGGAAGUUUAGUGGUUAUUAUUAUGUGGUUUACCCAUCAAAAUUCUGUAGUCAGGUUUAACUGAUGUUCAAGCACCCGUAUGAGUCUGAUAGUUCCUAUUCUCCCUACUCUCUCUUUCUUAUAACAAAGUUCUGCUAUGUUGCCUUUUAUUAUUUCCAUCAAAAGGUAGAAUUGCUCCUAAAUUUGAUGCACCAGGACACCGUCGGCCCCCUUGUCAGCUCCUGUGAUCUUCAGUACAACUGUCGCCAGCGACACUCCUUGUCCUUCAGUUAAGUCUCAUCAAGCUACAGGCAACACCAACGGGUCAGAUCCAUCAAUAACAAGGAACGGUCAAGAUGAAGACGCAAGACAUCAGUGUUUACUUUCUGAGAACACUGCUUGUAACCUUGUUUAAUUAUGUUGAUCACGUUGUAAUCCCUAUUUACUGAACCUGGCUAUUAAUAGCCUCCCAUGUCGGGACGACAGGGCUAUCGAAAUAUAUCUAAA